UACGUAGGGGGCAAGCGUUGUCCGGAAUCAUUGGGCGUAAAGCGCGUGUAGGCGGCUCGGUAAGUCUGCUGUGAAAGUCCCGGGCUCAACCCUGGAAAGCCGGUGGAAACUGUCGAGCUAGAGUCCGGAAGAGGCGAGUGGAAUUCCUGGUGUAGCGGUGAAAUGCGCAGAUAUCAGGAGGAACACCAAUGGCGAAGGCAGCUCGCUGGGACGGUACUGACGCUGAGACGCGAAAGCGUGGGGAGCAAACAGG
rnacentral:rRNA from 1 species